CUGAAAGAUUUAACAUUGAGACGAGUGGCGAACUGGUGAGUAACACGUGGGUAACCUGCCCUUGAAGUAGGGGAUAACACUUGGAAACAGGUGCUAAUACCGUAUAACAACCAAAACCACCUGGUUUUGGUUUAAAAGACGGCUUCGGCUGUCACUUUAGGAUGGACCCGCGGCGUAUUAGCUUGUUGGUAAGGUAACGGCCUACCAAGGCGAUGAUACGUAGCCGACCUGAGAGGGUAAUCGGCCACAUUGGGACUGAGACACGGCCCAAACUCCUACGGGAGGCAGCAGUAGGGAAUCUUCCACAAUGGACGAAAGUCUGAUGGAGCAACGCCGCGUGAGUGAUGAAGGGUUUCGGCUCGUAAAACUCUGUUGUUGGAGAAGAACAGGUGUCAGAGCAACUGUUGACAUCUUGACGGUAUCCAACCAGAAAGCCACGGCUAACUACGUGCCAGCAGCCGCGGUAAUACGUAGGUGGCAAGCGUUGUCCGGAUUUAUUGGGCGUAAAGCGAGCGCAGGCGGUUUUUUAGGUCUGAUGUGAAAGCCUUCGGCUUAACCGGAGAAGUGCAUCGGAAACCGGGAGGCUUGAGUGCAGAAGAGGACAGUGGAACUCCAUGUGUAGCGGUGAAAUGCGUAGAUAUAUGGAAGAACACCAGUGGCGAAAGCGGCUGUCUGGUCUGUAACUGACGCUGAGGCUCGAAAGCAUGGGUAGCGAACAGGAUUAGAUACCCUGGUAG
rnacentral:rRNA from 2 species